ACCCCAUGGAGCUUUAAACCCAACAACACCCGCCCCCCUCCAAAUCCUAUUAUGUGCCCGGUGACUGUUUGUUCGGUUUUAGGUUGGGGUGACCGCGGAGUAUAAGAUAUCCUCCAUGAAAAAAAGCUAACUGCCCUUAUUAGAGAAAGACACUUCCAAAAAAUAAUAAAUUAAUUUUAAAUGAUCCGACAUUCGAUCAACGAACCAAGUUACCCUGGGGAUAACAGCGCAAUCCGUCCCGAGAGCCCCUAUCGACAGGCGGGUUUACGACCUCGAUGUUGGAUCAGGGUAUCCUAGUGGUGCAGCAGCUACUAAAGGUUCGUUUGUUCAACGAUUAAAACCCU
rnacentral:rRNA from 1 species